CCUCGGGAACUGUGAGACAGGUGCUGCAUGGCUGUCGUCAGCUCGUGUUGUGAAAUGUUGGGUUAAGUCCCGCAACGAGCGCAACCCUUAUCCUUUGUUGCCAGCGGUUCGGCCGGGAACUCAAAGGAGACUGCCAGUGAUAAACUGGAGGAAGGUGGGGAUGACGUCAAGUCAUCAUGGCCCUUACGACCAGGGCUACACACGUGCUACAAUGGCAUAUACAAAGAGAAGCGACCUCGCGAGAGCAAGCGGACCUCAUAAAGUAUGUCGUAGUCCGGAUUGGAGUCUGCAACUCGACUCCAUGAAGUCGGAAUCGCUAGUAAUCGUAGAUCAGAAUGCUACGGUGAAUACGUUCCCGGGCCUUGUACACACCGCCCGUCACACCAUGGGAGUGGGUUGCAAAAGAAGUAGGUAGCUUAACCUUCGGGAGGGCGCUUACCACUUUGUGAUUCAUGACUGGGGUGAAGUCGUAACAAGGUAACCG
rnacentral:rRNA from 1 species